UGGCGGCAGAGGACGCUGGGCUCAGGAACUGGCGACAUCAACCGGGGAGGAGGAGGCCGGGGGCACAGAGUCUCUAGUACUUAGCGCUCUACAGGAAGCCAUUCUAUCUGGGAAUAGACAGAGAGAGGGGGGUAAGUAAUACAGAGACACCCAGUGUGUAAUACAGAGACAGACAGUGUGUAAUACAGAGACAGACAGUGUGUAAUACAGAGACAGUGUGUAAUACAGAGACAGACAGUGUGUAAUACAGAGACAGUGUGUAAUACAGAGACAGUGUGUAAUACAGAGACACCCAGUGUGUAAUACAGAGACAGUGUGUAAUACAGAGACAGACAGUGUGUAAUACAGAGACACCCAGUAAUACAGACAGUCAGUAAUACAGAGACACCCAGUGUGUAAUACAGAGACAGUGUGUAAUACAGAGACACCCAGUGUGUAAUACAGAGACACCCAGUGUGUAAUACAGAGACAGUGUGUAAUACAGAGACAGUGUGUGUAAUACAGAGACAGUGUGUAAGACAGAGACAGUGUGUAAGACAGAGACACCCAGUGUGUAAUACAGAGACAGUGUGUAAUACAGAGACAGUGUGUAAUACAGAGACAGACAGUGUAAAAUACGAGACAGUCAGUGUGUAAUACAGAGACAGUGUGUAAUACAGAGACAGACAGUGUGUAAUACAGAGACAGACAGUGUGUAAUACAGAGACACCCAGUGUGUAAUACAGAGACAGUGUGUAAUACAGAGACAGACAGUGUGUAAUACACAGACAGUGUGUAAUACAGAGACAGUGUGUAAUACAAAGACACCCAGUGUGUAAUACACAGACAGUGUGUAAUACAGAGACAGUGUGUAAUACAAAGACACCCAGUGUGUAAUACAGAGACAGACAGUGUGUAAUACAGAGACAGUGUGUAAUACAGAGACACCCAGUGUGUAAUACAGAGACAGACAGUGUGUAAUACACAGACAGUGUGUAAUACAGAGACACCCAGUGUGUAAUACAGAGACAGACAGUGUGUAAUACACAGACAGUGUGUAAUACAGAGACACCCAGUGUGUAAUACAGAGACAGACAGUGUGUAAUACAGAGACAGACAGUGUGUAAUACAGAGACACCCAGUGUGUAAUACAGAGACAGUGUGUAAUACAGAGACACCCAGUGUGUAAUACAGAGACAGACAGUGUGUAAUACAGAGACACCCAGUGUGUAAUACAGAGACAGUGUGUAAUACAGAGACAGACAGUGUGUAAUACAGAGACAGUGUGUAAUACAGAGACACCCAGUGUGUAAUACAGAGACAGUGUGUAAUACAGAGACAGACAGUGUGUAAUACAGAGACAGUGUGUAAUACAGAGACACCCAGUGUGUAAUACAGAGACAGUCAGUGUGUAAUACAGAGACAGACAGUGUGUAAUACACAGACAGUGUGUAAUACACAGACAGUGUGUAAUACAGAGACAGACAGUGUGUAAUACAGAGACAGUGUGUAAUACAGAGACANNNNNNNNNNNNNNNNNNNNNNNNNNNNNNNNNNNNNNNNNNNNNNNNNNNNNNNNNNNNNNNNNNNNNNNNNNNNNNNNNNNNNNNNNNNNNNNNNNNNCAGUGUGUAAUACAGAGACACCCAGUGUGUAAUAGACACCCAGUGUGUAAUAUAGAGACAGUGUGUAAUACAGAGACACCCAGUGUGUAAUACAGAGACACUCAGUGUGUAAUACAGAGACACUCAGUGUGUAAUACAGAGACACCCAGUGUGUAAUACAGAGACAGUGUGUAAUACAGAGACACCCAGUGUGUAAUACAGAGACAGUGUGUAAGACAGAGACAGUGUGUGAGACAGAGACAAUGUGUAAGACAUAGACACCCAGUGUGUAAUAUAGAGACAGUGUGUAAUACAGAGACACCCAGUGUGUAAUACAGAGACACCCAGUGUGUAAUACAGAGACAGUGUGUGAGACAUAGACACCCAGUGUGUAAUAUAGAGACAGUGUGUAAUACAGAGACAGUCAGUGUGUAAUACAGAGACACCCAGUGUGUAAUACAGAGACAGUCAGUGUGUAAUAUAGAGACACCCAGUGUGUAAUACAGAGACACCCAGUGUGUAAGACAGAGACACCCAGUGUGUAAUACAGAGACAGUGUGUAAUACAGAGACACCCAGUGUGUAAGACAGAGACACCCAGUGUGUAAUAUAGAGACAGUGUGUAAUACAGAGACACCCAGUGUGUAAUACAGAGACACCCAGUGUAUAAUACAGAGACAGUGUGUAAUAAGACAGAGACACUCAGUGUGUAAUGGCCAAGGUGACAGUGUAAUACAGACAGUGUAAUACAUAUAUCACCCAGUGGUGUACAGACACCUGUGCGUGUAAUAUGGUAUAUUGUGUAUUGCCAGGAGACAAUUUGUGUAAUACAGAGCAUAAUUUCAGUGUAAUACAGACACUCAGCGGCCGGCUGAGACACCCAGUGUAAUACAGUGUAAUACAGAGACACCCAGUGUGUAAUACAGAGACAGUGUGUAAUACAGAGACACCCAGUGUGUAAUACAGAGACAGACAGUGUGUAAUACAGAGACACCCAGUGUGUAAUACAGAGACAGUGUGUAAUACAGAGACACCCAGUGUGUAAUACAGAGACACCCAGUGUGUAAUACAGAGACAGUGUGUAAUACAGAGACACCCAGUGUGUAAUACAGAGACACCCAGUGUGUAAUAUAGAGACAGUGUGUAAUACAGAGACACCCAGUGUGUAAUACAGAGACAGUGUGUAAUAGAGACACCCAGUGUGUAAUAUAGAGACAGUGUGUAAUACAGAGACACCCAGUGUGUAAUACAGAGACAGUGUGUAAUACAGAGACACAGUGCGUAAUGCAGACAGUGUGUAAUACAGAGACACCCAGUGUGUAAUACAGAGACAGUGUGUGUAAUACAGACAGUGUGUAAUACAGAGAUACAUAGUGUGUAAUACAGAGACAGUGUGUAAUACACAGUGUAGCAAAGCAGCAAUAUUAAAUCCCACGAACUCCGCUGGUAAAGAAGGUAAUCCACAGUCAAGCGCUGAAAAGUAAGGCAAUAUCCCAAAUCCUCCAGUAACCGGACGAAACGCAGUUUUGGGAGUCAGCUGAGGUCUUUAUUCACAGCUCCAGUAUUUAUGCAAGUCCCAUGCAAGGGGUUUCCCUACUGACAUUGCCGGGUGUUACGGACCGUUUUGCACACAAGGGGUAAAAACCGUUUAGGCGAUCGGCCCCCUUUCCAGAGAUGCAGGCACAGCUAUUGUAAAACACCAAACUCACGAACUGCCAAUAAAGGAAUGCUCCAAACUCCCGAACGGCAUCCAAUAUAGCACUCCAAACACACGAACUGGAACCAUACGAAUCACUGUUAGCAGACGAAUAGGAAAAGCAUCCAAGCGGCCUACACUCUUAGCAAUCAGUCUCUAUCAGCAUUCAGUAAAUCCCCCCAAAGACGAGACAAGGCUCCGUGUUCAGGGUCAAGCAGUGGUCUGUUUAACGAGGGCUACCUUCCCAGUAUUUAUGCAGGUCUCCCACCUGGUGGACACUCCCCUAGGGGACCAAAUGGGAGACUGUGACAAAGGACAGACAAGUAGACCAAUAGGACACACAAAUACAGUUCAAUCGCCAUGGAGCCAAAGUCUUUACAAAGUCAGUUCUCAUACGAAUGGGCUCCAUGGGAUUCCUAUCUGGGGUAUAACGUAGUCAGGUAAAACUACCGAACACCGGGCCGUUCGUGCACUCCUGCCGAACAAGAAGGGAGGUCGGCGGCUUCAGCGGUGUUCGCGCAAAAACUGUGUCCGAUUUUAGUUCCAUGAAUUAAGCGUCGAACACCGCUGUGCGUUCGCAUGUUUAAAAUGGCCGCGACCUUGUGUUCGUGAUCCGAAUGGCGGCCACCCAGCAUUUGUCAAUUAAGCUGCGGUUAACCCCUGUAAUGUCAGGGAGGCUAAUUGCCGGCACACUCCAGCUCCCAGGUGGUCCAGUCAUUUGUGCGGUUGUUCGGUAGAUUUAAUCUACCGAACACCAGGCAGAAAAGCACGAAUAAAUCCUUUCUGCAGGGAAAAAAAGAUGUCUUUUAACAUGAGGCCAUAGUCUAAAGGUACCAGGCUUCUCCAAUACAAUGUGGCGAGAUUGGUCUCGUCACACAGGGGUAAUACAGUAGGGGACUACAUGGGGGACGUAACAUUCUGGGCAUUUCUCCCACCAGGCACUGCUGCACGAGAGGGAUACUCCCACUGGAAUAUACCAUUAAGUGGAUUAUCCCUCCGUGCAGCAGAACCGACAAUUCACUUUUAAAUACAUAACUUUUGUAAUACUUAGUCUAUUUAAACGAAUGGAUGUUCGGUAGAUAGCUGGGGUCUGCGUGCACAGUUCGUGAGAAUACCGCUCAGAUCCCAGCUAAAACAACCGAACGCCGCAUGAAAUACACUUUGCCAUUGAGUUCGCCCCAAAGUACCGAACACCGAUGGGGGAACCCUAAUGGCGAAAGACCGGAGCUCCUGAACAGCCUGGAAGUCCAGCGGUGUUCGCGCCGUCGAGUAGCCCUUUCCAGUUCCAUGCGCUCGACGGCCAAACACCGCUGGGGAGACAAAGGAUCCAAGAUGGCCGACCGCCGCGUGGUCGGUAGCCGAACGACGGCCACUUUGGAGAGCCUCUAAUUACCGAUUGCAACAUUGUUGCAAUCGGUUAACAAGCGCCACACGUCCCUUAGUGUGUGGGCUAUUAAACGAUAGUUCAUUCGGUUCACGAACAGCCCGCAAAGGCGCUGUUCGUGAAACGAAAUACAGUAAGGCUAUCUGCUUUCGGCAGAUAGCUGACAAGAUCAAUGAAACAUGCAGUGAAGGAAGUUAAUUACAGCCAGGCACAUAUUAUAGCACAAUAAAGACACAGGNNNNNNNNNNNNNNNNNNNNNNNNNNNNNNNNNNNNNNNNNNNNNNNNNNNNNNNNNNNNNNNNNNNNNNNNNNNNNNNNNNNNNNNNNNNNNNNNNNNNCAACUUUUUCCCACAUAUUGUCCAAGAUAGUCCCAGUGGCUAGUUUUGCCACAAUUAUCGCCCCGGAAAGCAAAACGGUAACGCCGACGGGUUAUCCAGACAAACUGAACUUGAAAAAUGAUCUGUGAGUACUCAGACUAUUUUGUUUAUCUUUGAGGGUUGCCCUAGAAAGACUGGUUUAUAUAUGAUGUUUGAUGUGUUUGCUUAAAAUGUGAAAGAGAGAAUUUGUAUGCUAGUGGCACGAAAGCCGCUAGCAUUCAUAUGGUAGUUUCACGAACAGGGAUUUUCAACACUGUUCGUAAAACGAACAAAGUACCGAAUGGGAGCCCACACACAAGGGGUUGUGUGGUUCCCAUUAACAGAUUGCAACAAUGUAUCCAUUGGCUGUUAAUUGAUUCACAGGGUGGCCGUCGUUCGGCUAACGACCACGAGGCGGCGGCCAUCUUGGAUUCCCUUUUUGCCCAGCAGUGUUUGGUCGUCGAGUGCCUGGAACCACUGGACUUCCAGGCCGUUCGGGAGCGCCGGUCUUUCUGUGCUUUUUCCCUACUUGUGUAUUCGUGACUUUUAUGAGGAAUGUAUAUUGAAGUGUAUUUCGUGCGGCGUUCGACUGAUUGUGCUUGGCUCUGAGCAGUACUUUCACGAAGUAUGCCCUCAGACCCCAGCUAUCUGCCGAACGGUCAUUCGGUACAAUGGCACGAAUAAUAUGUAAGUUACGGAUCUUUAUGUGAAAAGCCAGUUCUGCUGCACGGAGGGAUAAUCCACUUAACUUGAUAUUCUAGUGGGAGUAUCCAUCUCGUGCAGCAGUGCAUGAUGGGAGAAAUGUCCAGGUUGUUAAGUUCCCCAUGUAGUCCCCUAUUUUACAACCCCUGUAAAGUCCGUAAGGAAACCCCUUGCAUGGGGUUACUGUGACCUGUGAUUAAAAGCUCAGUUGACUCCCAGCCUAUGUGUCGUCUAGUUCUUGGGAAGGAAGGAUCUGUAUAACGCUACUGGGAUUAUUGUAUGCUGUAUUUAUUUUGCCUGGAUUAUUGUAAACUGUUCCUGUUACCAGUUUAGAUAUUGUGGAUGAUACUACCUCUCCGCUACAGUGUGUAAUACAUAGAUACAUAGUGUGUUAUACAGAGAGAGGGUGUAAUACCGAGAGAUAUUGCUUGUUAUUAAGAGGUAUUAUACAUUGUUAUACCUAGAUAAUAAAUUGUGUGUUAUACAGACAGAGGGUGUAACAUAGAGAUAUAUAGAGUAUAAUACAGAGAUAAUAUAUUGUGUGUUGUAAAAAAGAUUUUUAAUGUGUAAUAGAGCUAUAAUAUACAUAGCGUGUAAUCGAAAGAUAGUGUGUGUGUCUUAUACAGAGAUGGUGUCUCUGAGUUGAGGAACUUUUCCAGUUCUGACGUUUUUGUCUAAAGUUUUCUUUUUGGAAUUUAGGUAUCGAUUUAAUUCUCUGUGGCUCUGAGCAAACCAGUGGCGGCCCUCUCCGUGGCUCUGAGCAAACCAGUGGUGGCCCUCUCCGUGGUCCGUAGUGGACCAGUGCCGACCCUCUCCGUGGCCCCUAACGAACCAGUGCCGGCUGUGUUUGUGGCUCUGAGUGAAUCCACUCCGUGGCUCUGAGUUAACCAGAACCAGCCUUCUCCGUGGCUCUGAGUGAACAAGUACCGUCCUUUUUCCGUGGCUCUAAAUCAAUGCUGGCUCCUCAUUACAUCACUUAACCAUGAUUGAAGUUGUAGCCAAGUUAAUCCGUGGCCCAGUGUUCCUAGCUGGUGAAGCUCUAGAGUGUCUUGUGACAUUUACCAACCCCCUGUCAGCAGCAUCUACCUCUGCCAGCAG
rnacentral:lncRNA from 1 species